rnacentral:rRNA from 1 species
CGGAGGGUGCAAGCGUUAUCCGGAUUUACUGGGUUUAAAGGGUGUGUAGCGGACUAUUAAGUCAGUGGUGAAAUCCCGAGGCUCAACCUCGGAACUGCCUUUGAUACUAUUAGUCUUGAAUGUUGUUGAGGUGGGCGGAACGGGUCAUGUAGCGGUGAAAUGCAUAGAUAUGACCCGGAACACCGAUUGCGAAGGCAGCCCGCUAAGCAACUAUUGACGCUGAGGCACGAAAGCGUGGGGGAUCAAACAGGAUUAGAUACCCUGGUAGUCCACGCCCUAAACGAUGAUUACUCGACGUUGGCGAUACACUGAUCAGCGUCCAAGCGAAAGCAUUAAGUAAUCCACCUGGGAAGUACGUUCGCAAGAAUG